GACGAACGCUGGCGGCGUGCUUAACACAUGCAAGUCGAACGGACAGACCCUGCUUUUGUUGGGUGCUCGAGUGGCGAGCGGGUGAGUAACACGUGAGUAUCCUGCCCUUGACUUUGGGAUAACUUCAGGAAACUGGGGCUAAUACCGGAUAGGAGCUCCUGCUGCAUGGUGGGGGAUGGAAAGUUUCGGCGGUUGGGGCUGGACUCGCGGCUUAUCAGCUUGUUGGUGGGGUAGUGGCUUACCAAGGCUUUGACGGGUAGCCUGCCUGGGAGGGUGGCCGGCGACAUUGGGACUGAGAGACGGCCCAGAAUGCUACGGGAGGCAGCAGGGGGGAACAUUGCAGAAUGGGGGGAAGUCUGAGAUGGAAACGUCGCGUGCGGGAUGAUGUGCUUCGGGGGGUAAACCGAUUUCGCCGGUGAUGAAGCGGGAGUGACGGUAAUGGGUAAAGAAGCACCGGCUAACUACGUG
rnacentral:rRNA from 1 species